GGGGCUGUGGGGAAGCCUGGUUAUCCUUCGAGUUUAGGGUACUCGCGUCCCCGGUUCAAAUCCGGGCAGCCCCA
rnacentral:tRNA from 1 species